rnacentral:tRNA from 1 species
GCCCCUGUGACGGAACGGCAGACGUAGCGGACUUAAAAUCCGCAGACUCGAAAGGGUCGUGUGGGUUCGAAUCCCACCUGGGGCA